CCCUUAGAUGUCCUGGGCUGCACGCGCGCUACACUGAUGUGUCCAGUAAGCACCUAACCUAUUCCGAGAGGAGCGGGUAACCUUUGCAAAGCACAUCGUGAUGGGGAUAGAUUAUUGCAAUUAUUAGUCUUGAACGAGGAAUUCCUAGUAAGCACAAGUCAUCAGCUUGUGUUGAUUACGUCCCUGCCCUUUGUACACACCGCCCGUCGCUCCUACCGAUUGAAUGUUCCGGUGAGCUCUUCGGACUGCGCGGUCUGCAGUUUCUGCGUUCCGUGCGGAAAGUUGCGCAAACCUUAACAUUUAGAGGAAGGAGAAGUCGUAACA
rnacentral:rRNA from 1 species